AUGCAAAGAGCUCCUGAAGACAAAGAGACUCUUCGGGUUUCCUCAAGAAAUGAAGAUAAUAAUCAAAGCACCUCGGAAUGCAACUCACAAGAUGUUGGCAAGACUUGCUUAGGAAACCAGAACAAUUCAACCUCUCUUCAGCUAAAGGUGGCAGAAACAGACCCAGAUAUGCAGAAGUCACACAGUCCUCCAUGGAUGAAACCAGAAAUUAAAAAAUCAACAGAGAGAAAAGAAAACAACCCUGAAGCAUUGGCUAAAAUCAAGGGAAAGACUCUGUAAACAUCACCCAGCUCUCUUUAAAACGUUCUUCAUUUGCUAUCGUCUUCAUCUUUUUAGUCCAGAGGCAUGAAAAUGUACCAGGUUUCUAAAGCAUGCAAUUUUUUCACUAUUUUAUGGAUGUUUGUAAAUUAGUCUAGAGAUUUCUGAAAUAGAUUGAUUAGUAUCUUUCAGCAAUAAUCCAAGAGAAAUGGAUGUUUGGAAAAAAAAUGCUUUGUAAUACAGUCCAGUUUUUUGAAAUAUUAUUCUGCCCUGAUCUGUAACUUGCUUAUUAUAAAUCACUCUGUUUUGUAAAGAAAUGCUAUUAAGAAUUUUUAUUUUAUUAACCAAUCCUGUUUCAUAAGUAUCAUUAUUGCAUAUCGAGGUCGACAAGUAACUUUGCACACACAUCCACACAUUCAAUCUGAUAAGACGGAUUUGGCAAGGUGCCUGAAACUCAGUAGGGAUGGUGCUUGUCUAACUUCUUGAGGGAGAAAGUUCCCUAGAGUUGGGAAAACCACACUGAAGCCGUGACUCCUUGCUGCUUUGGGUCCAUAGGGAGCGACUAACUGCUCCUCCUGAUGGUCUCAGUGAUCGACACGGAGUGAACAGGAUAAGGUGGUCCUUAAAGUAUCCUGGGCUUGUUAUUCAGGGCUGUGUAGACUACUAUAAGAAUUGUAUUGAAGGGGAAUACUCUAGCUGAGUCUUAUCCCUGAGAUGCUAAUUUGCCAAAUGAUGCUGGAGGACAUUCCUCUGUCUUGCCAUCCCAUGAGAACCUGCACAAUCAUCCCUACACUUAAACUACUGUUCAAAGGAUAUAAUGGACUACUUAAAGGUUUGGGGGCUUCUUAUCCUCUUAAUCAGGCAAUGUAGA
rnacentral:lncRNA from 1 species